CAGUAGCCGCGGUAAUACGUAGGUGGCAAGCGUUGUCCGGAAUUAUUGGGCGUAAAGCGCGCGCAGGUGGUUUAAUAAGUCUGAUGUGAAAGCCCACGGCUCAACCGUGGAGGGUCAUUGGAAACUGUUAAACUUGAGUGCAGGAGAGAAAAGUGGAAUUCCUAGUGUAGCGGUGAAAUGCGUAGAUAUUGGGAGGAACACCGGCGGCGAAGGCGGCUUACUGGACGACAACUGACGUUGAGGCUCGAAGGCGUGGGUAGCAAACAGGAUUAGAUACCCCGGUAGUCCCUGUCUCUUAUAC
rnacentral:rRNA from 1 species